AGUGGCGGACGGGUGAGUAACGCGUGGGUAACCUGCCCUGUACAGGGGGAGUAACAGCUGGAAACGGCUGCUAAUACCGCAUAAGCGCACAGUACCGCAUGGUACAGUGUGAAAAACUCCGGUGGUACGAGAUGGACCCGCGUCUGAUUAGCCUGUUGGUGGGGUAACGGCCUACCAAGGCAACGAUCAGUAGCCGACUUGAGAGGGUGAACGGCCACAUUGGGACUGAGACACGGCCCAGACUCCUACGGGAGGCAGCAUG
rnacentral:rRNA from 1 species